rnacentral:rRNA from 1 species
AGUUUGAUCAUGGGCUACGAGGACGAACGCUGGCGGCGCGCCUAACACAUGCAAGUCGAACGAGCAAAGAGGAGCUUGCUUCNCUGAGCGAGUGGCGAACGGGUGAGUAACGCGUGAGGAACCUGCCUCAAAGAGGGGGGACAACAGUUGGAAACGACUGCUAAUACCGCAUAAGCCCACGGGUCGGCAUCGACCAGAGGGAAAAGGAGCAAUCCGCUUUGAGAUGGCCUCGCGUCCGAUUAGCUAGUUGGUGAGGUAAUGGCCCACCAAGGCGACGAUCGGUAGCCGGACUGAGAGGUUGAACGGCCACAUUGGGACUGAGACACGGCCCAGACUCCUACGGGAGGCAGCAGUGGGGAAUAUUGCACAAUGGGGGAAACCCUGAUGCAGCGACGCCGCGUGGAGGAAGAAGGUCUUCGGAUUGUAAACUCCUGUUGUUGAGGAAGAUAAUGACGGUACUCAACAAGGAAGUGACGGCUAACUACGUG